CCUUGGCACCUUCUGUUUGUUUUUACUAAUUUCCUUUCCAAACUGCCUUUUCAAUACAGAGGAAAGACCUCAGGACUUAAAGUUUGUUAUUUUCUCUCCAAAGUUAGUCCCUGUUCCCCCUGCCUCCCUCCCUCCCCUUCCUUUAAACCAGACUGAACUGCUUCUUCGCUUGGUGGCUGUAUCUUAAAUCACGGCAUGAAAUCGAGCCCUUCGCUGUGCUUGCUGUCUGUGCGUGAGCCACAUCAGCGGCUGGCAGCGCUCCCGAGCCCUGGCAUCCUUCCUCAGCAGCCUUGAGUCCAAUUAGGCUUCACCUCAGUUUUGAGUACAGCUUCCCCCUAUCACUGGGCCUGCUCCUGCCACACUUUCAGGGUUCUCCAUACCCCAUUAAGCCCCAGGAAUCAGAUCUGGGACUUGUGGAGCAAGCUGGGGCUCAGCUCCAGCACUGCUGUGUGGGUACCGCUGCUCUCUUUGCAGAAAGAUCCAAAGGAGAGAGGGAAAACGGAACGAGAUGCAAACAGAGAGGGGGGAUGGCUGUGGCACCCCAUCCUUCUCCUGCAUGGGAUCCCUGCCAGCUCUGCAAGCACUGGGCUGGUGCCAACUAUCGCGUUCGCCCGUCCCCAUCCUCCUGCAUCCUCCAGCAGCCUCUGUCCAGAGCCACGCGGCUGUCCUGGGGAGGACCCAUCCCUUGGGAAAACCAGUGGAAACCGGAGUUAGUCCUCGUCUGUUUAACUAGCUCUUCAUUAGGUAUGCUUUCUAUAAACACAGAUUAAAAGAAAACAAACAACAAAAAAUAAAGAUACUGGAAUUACUCUGAGGAAACUGUAUCUUUGUGGGCCAAAUUAAACUUCAUAUAAUAGCUCUUCUUUAUAUGAGAAGGGAAUAAUGUCUUCAAUUAUAUCAAGGCAUGUAAUUACACACUUAUGCACUAAAUUAAAUACGCUUCUUUUUUAGCACAAAUCAGGUUGAAUAUCAAUUACAGCUUCUAAAAACAUAUGUAGUUAAAAAAAAUCCACUUCAUAUAUUUAACUUUUCAAGAUAAUUUUAUUAAUAUGUCCACCGAUUAUAAUUUAAUGUACAAAUUGCUUGGCAUAGAGUUUUUGAUGUAGUGCAAAACCAGCAGUUUCAAAGUAUUGAAGAAUGCCAAACUCCAGGGAGAACUGCACUAAGCAAACCUAUCUGUGCAAAGAAAACUCUGUAUUUUCAAAGAUUGUUAUCAAAAUGGAUGCUGACUAACGGCUUGUUUAGCCAAGAACAAUAUGUUUGCUUCUUACAGGGUUCCUUAUUUUACUGUGUAUGUUUGGCCUCCCUGUGUCAUUUCCGUCACGAAUUCAUCACAGAGAGGCAGCCAUACAGUAUUUGAUAUAGAGAUGCCUCUGGUUUCCACAAGCUGAAAGCACAGACAAAUUGUGCAAAAAUACUGAGCAAAAGUUUCAGACUGGAUCUGGAAGGGAAAAAUGAAGUCUAUUUAUUUAGUUUAGCCAGUUCUGUUUAAGUGGGAAAAUACUGAGAACUGAAAAACUGUGUUGAAAAUGUCAUGAUUCUCAAAAAUAAUCCUGCCAAUUAUAGAAAAGUCACUAAAAUAUUGCUUUUUAAGUAUGGAUACGUAUUCCUGAAUACACAUUAUGAAUAAAACGUUUUUUCAGACAAUA